rnacentral:misc_RNA from 1 species
GGACUUGUUUCAGAAAGCUUAUCUCAGUAGUGUGCUACCUCAGAAAUCUCAAUAUGGGGUCCCAUUAAAUAGCAAGACUAGCGGUUCAGGUCAUCCUGGCUAUUAUGGAAAUUCUGCAUUUGGAGUUGGUCUAUCAUAUCCUGGGAGUCCUUUAGCAAGUCCAGUCUCUCCAGUAGGACCUGGUAGUCCUAUGAGGCAUAGUGAUUAUAAUAUGAGAUUUCCUGGUAGAAUAAGAAACAUAGCUGGAGGUG